UACGUAGGGUGCGAGCGUUGUCCGGAAUUAUUGGGCGUAAAGGGCUCGUAGGCGGUUUGUCGCGUCGGGAGUGAAAUCCACUGGCUUAACUGGUGGCUUGCUUUCGAUACGGGCAGACUGGAGGUAUGCAGGGGAGAACGGAAUUCCUGGUGUAGCGGUGAAAUGCGCAGAUAUCAGGAGGAACACCGGUGGCGAAGGCGGUUCUCUGGGCAUGUCCUGACGCUGAGGAGUGAAAGUGUGGGGAGCGAACAGG
rnacentral:rRNA from 1 species